UGCUAGAACUACUGCAGGGCUUUCCUUGU
rnacentral:piRNA from 1 species